AUGUCUGACUAUGCAACUUAAGGGAAGCCGAAUGUAGUGGGCCAGUAGUUGAGAUUCCACAGUCGAGGGAUGAGGGUUGAUUACUUGAAGUUCGCCUUCCAAAUGGAGCAGUUGAAGAUACUGUUAUGAUAUUCUUAAUGGACGUACUUAGUUAGAGUGGAUUAAAGCUUGUUUUCUUGAGGUACAUCGGUCUCAGAUACGAACCCUCUUAAGGGUUUCAGAUCUUAAUUUUAAAUAGGAAGUUCUUAGAGGUCGUGUCGCAUAUCAUAGAACCCGGAAUCCAUCCAAGUAUGUUGAAUAUUUUGGGGGUCAAGGUAUAUCGGACUUGCAUGUGUCGCAUUUGUGUUAUAUAUAUAUGUGUCAAAUUUGGAAAGAGAACUCUUGGUGUUUUUUUUCCUUUUGACAAUGUCUUUUUUAUUGUUCUUUUUUUGUGAUCGAAAUUAACUUUUGCACCGUGUGAUCAGCUCUUCUUUGGAUUGUACUUUAGGGGAACUGCUUCAGGUGGCUUGGACUUGCGAAAAGAGCUUGAAGAUCAUCAUCGUUGUUAGAAGACAAUACCACGUCAAUAUCUCUGCGGAAAGUCAUUUCUGCUUUUUCUUUCACCAAGUAAACCUCAGUUGAAGUUGUAUCCUCGCCCUUAGAUUGUGCGUCAGUGACAUUUUAGCCGAAGUAGUGAUUGCCAUCAAUUCAGUUUUUUGGUUGGAUUAUUGCCUGGGACCGAUUUUAGUUUGAUUCCUUGCUCAAAGAAUUUAAGCCUCGGAGAGGGUUUUUGUUUCAAUUGAAAGUUCGGUUAGUAAGGUUCGCCGAGAAUGGUCUUCCAUUCAGUACCAUGUCUGGAGAAAGAAUGAAGGUUAUAGGUUAACACAUGAAAGUCCUGUAAGAUCCCUUGGAGUAGCAUGUUCUGGUAAAAAAAGCACACGAAUUUGUGAUAUUUAGAUGAACAUGUAGCUCUUCUGAACAAUGUCAUUUUGACCCAGUGCAAGGCGUUGCUAGUCGCUCUCGCCUCACUAGUCGUCUUCACUCAUCAUAGCUUGUGCCCCCAUUUCCACUGCUUGG
rnacentral:lncRNA from 1 species